ACCAAUGUGCACACACGGAUACCUUCAUUCCACCAGGGAUGGUUUUCACAUCCUGAAAAACGACAAGCAUGCGGCCUCCAGCCCGGUGUAACAGAUGCCAGCUUUGUGUGUACAGAGCCUCGUCACCACUUGCACUCAUCAACUCAAAGGAGAAAAGGAAGCAGCCAGGUCUUCUGCACACACCUAGCCAGCACUCCACAGUGCUCCAGAUUAUACCUGGGACCUCUUCGGGAAGCAAAGAUGUCAGGCAGCUUUUGCUUCGGGACUGGGUGUUUUUCAUCAGGUCUCUCAGAUAACCAUCACUGAGGAGAAGGUCAAGAGAAGGCCCCGGAGAGCUCUACAGCGCUUUCUGCCCUGUGAGGACGCACCGCAAAGAAGGAAGUCUGCAACCCGGAAGACAGCUCUCUCCAGAACCUGACCAUAGUGGCACCCUGAUCUCAG